UUAACCUCUUCCCAAUCCUGCCGCCAGCGCAUUUCCUCGGCUGUCAGCACUGCACGUGUCCCCAGGGCGCAGAGGGCUCUGUGCGGGGCUCGGGGCUCAGGCCUGGGCUCCACACUGGUACGGGAGUGAACAUGGCCGGACAGCGGGCACUGCUGCUGCUAGUGGGCUUCCUUCUGCCGGGGUUCCUGCUCUCAGAAGCCGCCAAAAUUCUGACUGUAUCCUCACUGGGUGGAAGCCAUUAUCUACUGGUGGACCGGGUUUCUCAGAUUCUUCAAGAUCAUGGCCAUAAUGUCACCAUACUUCUUUAUGGAGGAGAUUAUGUAAUCCCAAAAAAGAAGGAAAAUGCAUACCAAGUUAUCACUUGGCUUCUAUCUGAGGAACAUGAAAAAGAAUUAAAGAACUAUUUUGAUUUCUUUAUGACAGAAGUUUUGCAUGGCAGAGAAGCAUUUGGCAACUUUGUAAAGUUAAUGGAACAAUUGGGGAUUCAGUGCAGUGAUUUGCUAAGAAGUGAUAUCAUGGAUUCUUUAAAAAAUGAGAAUUUUGACUUGGUAUUUGUUGAAGCAUUUGACUUCUGUUCUUUCCUGGUUGCUGAGAAGCUUGGGAAGCCAUUUGUGUCAAUUCUUCCCACUCCCUUUGGCAGUGUGGACCUUGGACUACCAAACCCUGUGUCUUAUGUUCCAGUAUUCAAUUCCUUGCUAACCGACCACAUGGACUUCUGGGGCAGAGUGAAGAAUUUUCUGAUGCUCUUUGAUUUCUCCAUGAAGCAAUGGCGAAUCCAGUCUACAUUUGACAGCACCAUUAAGGAACAUUUCCCAGAAGGUUCUAGGCCAGUUUUGUCUCAUCUUCUAAAGAAAGCAGAGCUGUGGUUUGUUAACUCUGACUUUGCCCUUGAAUUUGCUCGGCCCCUGCUUCCCAACACUGUGUAUGUUGGAGGCUUAAUGUCCAGACCUGUUAAAGCAGUACCACAGGAAUUUGAGAAUUUCAUUGCCAAGUUUGGAGACUCUGGUUUUGUCCUUGUGGCCCUGGGCUCCCUGGUGGGCAUCUGUCAGUCCCAGGAAGUUGUCAGGGAGAUGAACAGUGCCUUUGCUCAUCUGUCUCAAGGGGUGAUAUGGAAGUGUAAUCCUUCUCAUUGGCCCAAAGACGUCAAAUUGGCAGCAAAUGUGAAAAUUGUGGACUGGCUUCCUCAGAAUGACCUCUUGGCUCACCCAUGCAUCCGUCUCUUUGUCACUCAUGGUGGAUUGAAUAGCAUAAUGGAAGCCAUCCAACAUGGUGUGCCCAUGGUGGGGAUUCCUGUCUUUGGAGACCAACCUGACAACCUGGUCUGAGUAGAAGCCAAAAAGUUUGGUGUCUCUAUUCAGCUUAAACAGAUCAAGGCAGAGACAUUGGCUCUGAAGAUGAAGGAAGUCAUUGAAGACAAGAGAUACAAGUCAGCAGCAGUGGCCGUCAGCAUCAUCAGGCGCUCCCACCCCAUGACCCCUGCUCAGAGGCUGGUGGGUUGGAUCGACCACAUCCUCCAGACAGGGGGUGCGGCACACCUCAAGCCCCACGGCCUGCAGCAGCCGUGGCAUGAGCAGUACCUGCUGGACGUCUUCUUGUUCCUGCUGCUGGUCACCCUGGGCACCCUGUGGCUCUGGGGGAAGCUGCUGGGCAUGGUGGCCAGGUGUCUGUGUGGGGCCAGGGAGCUGAAGAAGGCCUGAUGGAGGUGCAUCCAUGAUGGGUGUUUGGGGAACCACAGGUUAUAGAAGCCUUUCCCCAGCACAGGACACCCCUGGCAUCUUCCCUGUGUUGACACUUGAGGGUGGCACAAAAUUGCUUUUCCCUAUUUUCUGCUUGUGUUUAAGAAUUCUUAUGAAGCACUCUUGGGAUUCUUAUUUUAAAUUCUAGAAAUAUAUAUAUUACAUAAAAUUUACCAUUUUAACCAUUUAGUGUAGUCAAUGGCAUUAAGCACAUUAACAUUAUCGUGCAAACAUCACUACCACCCAUUCCAGAAUGUUUUUCAGCCUCCCAAACUCAAACACCCUGCUGAUCAAACAGUAAUUCCUCAUAUCCAUGCCCCCACUACCAACUCAGCAAGCUCCAGGCAACCCCGGUUGUACUUACUGUGUCUAUGAAUUAUAUCCUGGUUUCAUGAUUUGCCCCUCAUCAAUGGAUACCUUACUGAGACCCAAACCUUCAGCAGACAGCUCCACCUUCCUCCCCACUUCUUGUUCUUAGACACAGGACCCUGCUUCUUGCAUCCUGGGUGCCUAAACACUUCUCAUUCUCUCUUCCUUUUCUCCAUCCUCACUUUUUAUGAUAUGACAGAAGAUAUUGACCAGUUUUUCUAUUUUGGGCCUUCUCUUAUAUCUCUUUUUCACUUCACCUCCAAGCACGG